GUUCUUUUCAUAGGAGAUCAUUGGCUAUGGGAUUGCAAUUGUCUAUGAAUGGAAUCGCCGCAGUCUCUUCGACGUGUCUCAAUGUGUCAGUCGAGAAGGAUCUCAGAUAAAUUGGAUGAGGAUGUUUACUUUCAUUACUAGAGAAGACAGCAAAACAGAGUUUGAUUAUUUUGGGCACUCCUGUGGCAGCCUGAAGCCGCUUUCUCUGUGGAUUCUACUCCGUUGAGGCAUGACUUUAUCCAACAGCAUUCAGAGAUCAUAUACAAGAUUCCAAAAAAGAUGAUGGAAUUUUCGUCGUGCACCAAGAGAAAAGGAUAUACGGAUUCCAGAAUGUCCUCGGGUCGUUGUUUGACCAUUUCUGCAUGCAAAUGAUCUAAUCGAAGACCGCACCAUUCAGCACAAAGAACUUUGCAACAAUUAUGACCGAUUAUUGGUGUUUCCUAAUGAAAUAUUCUCAUAUAUAGCUGAAGAUUAAAUGCUGAGUCUAUUGUAUGAUGUGCCAGAGUAAUUCAAAACCGUCUGUCGCUUUAACUUUCGCUUAUUUCGUACGAAUAUGCUCACUGAAUUAAUUCAUUAGUCGAAUUAUUCAACGUAUGGCGUAUUUUCCAUUUUAAAAGGCAAAAAAAUUGUGAUAUCUUGAUAGCUCUCAGUCGUUGUUCAAUUAUCUGACCAGAUUCUAGUUUCCAAGAUCAAAAUAAAUACAACUACUGCUCUGUCA